GAUGAACGCUGGCGGCGUGCUUAACACAUGCAAGUCGAACGGUGAUCUUGAGAGCUUGCUCUUGGGUGAUCAGUGGCGAACGGGUGAGUAACACGUGAGUAACCUGCCCCUGACUCUGGAAUAACUUCGGGAAACCGAAGCUAAUACCGGAUAUGACACAGAGCCGCAUGGUUUCUGUGUGGAAAGUUUUUCGGUUGGGGAUGGACUCGCGGCCUAUCAGCUUGUUGGUGAGGUAAUGGCUCACCAAGGCGACGACGGGUAGCCGGCCUGAGAGGGCGACCGGCCACACUGGGACUGAGACACGGCCCAGACUCCUACGGGAGGCAGCAGUGGGGAAUAUUGCACAAUGGGCGAAAGCCUGAUGCAGCGACGCCGCGUGAGGGAUGAAGGCCU
rnacentral:rRNA from 1 species